rnacentral:misc_RNA from 1 species
AACGCACAUUGCGCCCUCUGGUAUUCCGGGGGGCAUGCCUGUUCGAGCGUCAUUACAACCCUCAAGCUCUGCUUGGUAUUAGGCUUCACCUGCUACAGGCGAGCCUUAAAAUCAGUGGCGGUGCCUUCUGGCUUCAAGCGUAGUAAUACUUCUCGUUUGGGAGCUCCAGUUGUGUGCCUGCUAGAAAACCCCAAUUUUUUAAAGGUUGACCUCGGAUCAGGUAGGGAUACCCGCUGAACUUAA